UACGUAGGGUGCAAGCGUUGUCCGGAAUUAUUGGGCGUAAAGAGCGUGUAGGCGGCCCGACCAGUCCGCUGUGAAAGUCCAGGGCUCAACCCUGGAAUGCCGGUGGAUACUGUCGGGCUAGAGUCCGGAAGGGGCGAGUGGAAUUCCUGGUGUAGCGGUGAAAUGCGCAGAUAUCAGGAGGAACACCAAUGGCGAAGGCAGCUCGCUGGGACGUGACUGACGCUGAGACGCGAAAGCGUGGGGAGCAAACCGG
rnacentral:rRNA from 1 species